rnacentral:rRNA from 1 species
GACGUAGGGUGCGAGCGUUGUCCGGAAUUAUUGGGCGUAAAGAGCUCGUAGGCGGUUUGUCGCGUCUGCUGUGAAAACCCGAGGCUCAACCUCGGGCCUGCAGUGGGUACGGGCAGACUAGAGUGCGGUAGGGGAGAUUGGAAUUCCUGGUGUAGCGGUGAAAUGCGCAGAUAUCAGGAGGAACACCGGUGGCGAAGGCGGAUCUCUGGGCCAUUACUGACGCUGAGGAGCGAAAGCGUGGGGAGCGAACAGG